UAGGGAAUCUUCGGCAAUGGGGGCAACCCUGACCGAGCAACGCCGCGUGAGUGAAGAAGGUUUUCGGAUCGUAAAGCUCUGUUGUAAGUCAAGAACGGGUGUGAGAGUGGAAAGUUCACACUGUGACGGUAGCUUACCAGAAAGGGACGGCUAACUACGUGCCAGCAGCCGCGGUAAUACGUAGGUCCCGAGCGUUGUCCGGAUUUAUUGGGCGUAAAGCGAGCGCAGGCGGUUUGAUAAGUCUGAAGUUAAAGGCUGUGGCUCAACCAUAGUUCGCUUUGGAAACUGUCAAACUUGAGUGCAGAAGGGGAGAGUGGAAUUCCAUGUGUAGCGGUGAAAUGCGUAGAUAUAUGGAGGAACACCGGUGGCGAAAGCGGCUCUCUGGUCUGUAACUGACGCUGAGGCUCGAAAGCGUGGGGAGCGAACAGGAUUAGAUACCCUGGUAGUCCACGCCGUAAACGAUGAGUGCUAGGUGUUGGAUCCUUUCCGGGAUUCAGUGCCGAAGCUAACGCAUUAAGCACUCCGCCUGGGGGAGUACGACCGCAAGGUUGAAACUCUAAAGUGAAUUGAC
rnacentral:rRNA from 1 species